rnacentral:rRNA from 1 species
UAGGGAAUAUUAGAAAUGGACGAAAGUCUGAUCUAGCAACGCCGCGUGAGCGAUGAAGGCCUUCGGGUCGUAAAGCUCUGUCCUCAAGGAAGAUAAUGACGGUACUUGAGGAGGAAGCCCCGGCUAACUACGUGCCAGCAGCCGCGGUAAUACGUAGGGGGCUAGCGUUAUCCGGAAUUACUGGGCGUAAAGGGUGCGUAGGUGGUUUCUUAAGUCAGAGGUGAAAGGCUACGGCUCAACCGUAGUAAGCCUUUGAAACUGGGAAACUUGAGUGCAGGAGAGGAGAGUGGAAUUCCUAGUGUAGCGGUGAAAUGCGUAGAUAUUAGGAGGAACACCAGUUGCGAAGGCGGCUCUCUGGACUGUAACUGACACUGAGGCACGAAAGCGUGGGGAGCAAACA